rnacentral:rRNA from 1 species
GACGAACGCUGGCGGCGUGCUUAACACAUGCAAGUCGAACGGAAAGGCCUGCUUUCCCUUGUGGAUUGCGGGUGCUCGAGUGGCGAACGGGUGAGUAACACGUGAGUGAUCUGCCCCCAACUUGGGUAUAAGCCUGGGAAACUGGGUCUAAUUCCCGAUAGGACUGCAGGGUGGUGCCUGUGGUGGAAAACGAUUUUCUAGUGGUUGGGGAUGAGCUCGCGGCCUAUCAGCUUGUUGGUGGGGUAAUGGCCUACCAAGGCGGCGACGGGUAGCCGGCCUGAGAGGGUGGACGGCCACAUUGGGACUGCGAUACGGCCCAGACUCCUACGGGAGGCAGCAGGGGGGAAUAUUGCACGAUGGGCGGAAGCCUGAUGCAGCAACGCCGCGUGGGGGAUGACGGCCUUCGGGUUGUAAACUCCUUUCGACCGCGAGGAAGCCACCUGGUUGGAAGGGUGGUGACGGUAGUGGUAGAAGAAGCACCGGCUAACUACGUG